GCACAAGCAGCGGAGCGUGUGGUUAAUUCGAGGCUACACGAAGAACCUUACCAGGGUUUGACAUGCAAGUGGUAGGAAUCCGAAAGGUGACCGACCCUUCGGGAGCUUGCACAGGUGCUGCAUGGCUGUCGUCAGCUCGUGUCGUGAGAUGUUCGGUUAAGUCCGCUAACGAGCGCAACCCUCGUCGUGUGUUAUACGUGUCACACGAUACUGCCGGUAUCAAGCCGGAGGAAGGUGGGGAUGAUGUCAAGUCAGCAUGGCCUUUAUAUCCUGGGCUACACACACGCUACAAUGGCAGAUACAAUAGGUUGCGAAACCGCGAGGUGGAGCCAAUCCUCAAAGUCUGUCUCAGUUCAGAUUGUAGGCUGCAACUCGCCUGCAUGAAGUUGGAGUUGCUAGUAAACGCAGGUCAGCUAUACUGCGUUGAAUACGUUCCCGGGGUUU
rnacentral:rRNA from 1 species